AUGCUCACUUCGGCAGCACAUAUACUGAACUUGGAAUGAUAAACAGAGAAGGUUAGCCUGGCCCCUGCGCAAGGAAGACACGCAAACUCAUGAAACGUUCCAUAUUUUU